rnacentral:rRNA from 1 species
GAGAGUUUGAUCCUGGCUCAGGAUGAACGCUAGCUACAGGCUUAACACAUGCAAGUCGAGGGGCAGCAUGGUCUUAGCUUGCUAAGGCCGAUGGCGACCGGCGCACGGGUGAGUAACACGUAUCCAACCUGCCGUCUACUCUUGGACAGCCUUCUGAAAGGAAGAUUAAUACAAGAUGGCAUCAUGAGUCCGCAUGUUCACAUGAUUAAAGGUAUUCCGGUAGACGAUGGGGAUGCGUUCCAUUAGAUAGUAGGCGGGGUAACGGCCCACCUAGUCUUCGAUGGAUAGGGGUUCUGAGAGGAAGGUCCCCCACAUUGGAACUGAGACACGGUCCAAACUCCUACGGGAGGCAGCAGUGAGGAAUAUUGGUCAAUGGGCGAGAGCCUGAACCAGCCAAGUAGCGUGAAGGAUGACUGCCCUAUGGGUUGUAAACUUCUUUUAUAAAGGAAUAAAGUCGGGUAUGGAUACCCGUUUGCAUGUACUUUAUGAAUAAGGAUCGGCUAACUCCGUGCCAGCAGCCGCGGUAAUACGGAGGAUCCGAGCGUUAUCCGGAUUUAUUGGGUUUAAAGGGAGCGUAGAUGGAUGUUUAAGUCAGUUGUGAAAGUUUGCGGCUCAACCGUAAAAUUGCAGUUGAUACUGGAUAUCUUGAGUGCAGUUGAGGCAGGCGGAAUUCGUGGUGUAGCGGUGAAAUGCUUAGAUAUCACGAAGAACUCCGAUUGCGAAGGCAGCCUGCUAAGCUGCAACUGACAUUGAGGCUCGAAAGUGUGGGUAUCAAACAGGAUUAGAUACCCUGGUAGUCCACACGGUAAACGAUGAAUACUCGCUGUUUGCGAUAUACUGCAAGCGGCCAAGCGAAAGCGUUAAGUAUUCCGCCUGGGGAGUACGCCGGCAACGGUGAAACUCAAAGGAAUUGACGGGGGCCCGCACAAGCGGAGGAACAUGUGGUUUAAUUCGAUGAUACGCGAGGAACCUUACCCGGGCUUAAAUUGCAGAUGAAUUACGGUGAAAGCCGUAAGCCGCAAGGCAUCUGUGAAGGUGCUGCAUGGUUGUCGUCAGCUCGUGCCGUGAGGUGUCGGCUUAAGUGCCAUAACGAGCGCAACCCUUGUUGUCAGUUACUAACAGGUUCUGCUGGGGACUCUGACAAGACUGCCAUCGUAAGAUGUGAGGAAGGUGGGGAUGACGUCAAAUCAGCACGGCCCUUACGUCCGGGGCUACACACGUGUUACAAUGGGGGGUACAGAGGGCCGCUACCACGCGAGUGGAUGCCAAUCCCAAAAACCUCUCUCAGUUCGGACUGGAGUCUGCAACCCGACUCCACGAAGCUGGAUUCGCUAGUAAUCGCGCAUCAGCCACGGCGCGGUGAAUACGUUCCCGGGCCUUGUACACACCGCCCGUCAAGCCAUGGGAGCCGGGGGUACCUGAAGUGCGUAACCGCGAGGAGCGCCCUAGGGUAAAACUGGUGACUGGGGCUAAGUCGUAACAAGGUAGCCG